AAAGAGGUAAAGCGACUGGAGUCCAAACUUUUCAAGUCCCGGGCCAACGCUGAAGCUCAGCUAUCAGUCGAGAAGAAAAAGUAUGAAGAGAAGUUGGAGGCCACCAAGGUUGCCGCGAUCGAAGCCUUCUACUCUUCGACUGCAUUUCGGGAUAUUAAGGUGAAGUUUGGCUCACUCUCGUACGUGCAGGGGGCUGAGGAUUUUAAGGAGAAGGUCAGGAAUCGCUUUCCUGAUCUUAAUCUCAGUCUCCUAGAGUCGAACGACGAGGAGGUCGGUGAGGUCAGAGAUGAUGGGCUGCAAGUUGAGGAUCUCCUCAAGUUGGCUCAUGAGGAUCCAAUGACAUAGGAAGUGGCGCCAGCUCCAGCACCAGCC
rnacentral:lncRNA from 1 species